rnacentral:rRNA from 1 species
AGGUGGGAAGUUUAGGCAAAUCCGGACUUCCUUAACACAGAGAGAUGAUGACGAGGCUCUACGGAGCUGAAGUAACUGAUACCACACUUCCAGGAAAAGCCACUAAGCGAAAGGCUUUACUAAACCGUACUGAAAACCGACACAGGUGGUCAGGUAGAGAAUACUCAGGCGCUUGAGAGAACUCGGGUGAAGGAACUAGGCAAAAUAGCACCGUAACUUCGGGAGAAGGUGCGCCGGCGUAGAUUGUAGUCCCUAGCGGGCGAAGGUUGAACCGGUCGAAGAUACCAGCUGGCUGCAACUGUUUAUUAAAAACACAGCACUCUGCAAACACGAAAGUGGACGUAUAGGGUGUGAUGCCUGCCCGGUGCUGGAAGGUUAAUUGAUGGUGUCAUCGCAAGAGAAGCACCUGAUCGAAGCCCCAGUAAACGGCGGCCGUAACUAUAACGGUCCUAAGGUAGCGAAAUUCCUUGUCGGGUAAGUUCCGACCUGCACGAAUGGCAUAAUGAUGGCCAGGCUGUCUCCACCCGAGACUCAGUGAAAUUGAAAUCGCCGUGAAGAUGCGGUGUACCCGCGGCUAGACGGAAAGACCCCGUGAACCUUUACUAUAGCUUGACACUGAACAUUGAAUUUUGAUGUGUAGGAUAGGUGGGAGACUUAGAAGUAGGAACGCCAGUUUCUAUGGAGUCAUCCUUGAAAUACCACCCUUUAACGUUUGAUGUUCUAACGAAGAUGACGAAACGUGGUCUCGGACAGUGUCUGGUGGGUAGUUUGACUGGGGCGGUCUCCUCCCAAAGCGUAACGGAGGAGCACGAAGGUUUGCUAAUCACGGUCGGACAUCGUGAGGUUAGUGCAAUGGUAUAAGCAAGCUUAACUGCGAGACAGACAAGUCGAGCAGGUACGAAAGUAGGUCAUAGUGAUCCGGUGGUUCUGAAUGGAAGGGCCAUCGCUCAACGGAUAAAAGGUACUCCGGGGAUAACAGGCUGAUACCGCCCAAGAGUUCAUAUCGACGGCGGUGUUUGGCACCUCGAUGUCGGCUCAUCACAUCCUGGGGCUGAAGUAGGUCCCAAGGGUAUGGCUGUUCGCCAUUUAAAGUGGUACGCGAGCUGGGUUUAGAACGUCGUGAGACAGUUCGGUCCCUAUCUGCCGUGGGCGUUGGAUGAUUGAUUGGGGCUGCUCCUAGUACGAGAGGACCGGAGUGGACGCAUCACUGGUGUUCCAGUUGUCUCGCCAGAGGCAUUGCUGGGUAGCUAAAUGCGGAAGAGAUAAGUGCUGAAAGCAUCUAAGCACGAAACUUGCCAAGAGAUGAGUCAUCCCUGACUUUAAGUCAGUAAGGGUUGUUGUAGACUACGACGUAGAUAGGUCAGGUGUGUAAGUGUAGUGAUACAUUGAGCUAACAGAUACUAAUUGCCCGAGAGGCUUAACUAUACAACGCUCAAG